rnacentral:rRNA from 1 species
UACGUAGGGCGCAAGCGUUGUCCGGAUUCACUGGGCGUAAAGAGCUCGUAGGCGGUUCGUCGCGUCGGCUGUGAAAACCCGGAGCUCAACUCCGGGCCUGCAGUCGAUACGGGCGGACUUGAGUGUUGCAGGGGAGACUGGAAUUCCUGGUGUAGCGGUGAAAUGCGCAGAUAUCAGGAGGAACACCGGUGGCGAAGGCGGGUCUCUGGGCAACUACUGACGCUGAGGAGCGAAAGCGUGGGGAGCGAACAGG